GCUCGCUCCCGCCGAGAGCCCGCUGCGCGGGCGCGCGCGCCCCGUCUGGCUGCUAGGCGACGGCGAGGACCCGGAGAAGCCUCCGGCAAUCCACCACCAACCAAGAGGCUACAAUGAAUUAUUUAUCUGCUCUUGAGCUGCAUAAAAAUGGAACCCUACAAGACAGGAUCUCACUCUGACAUCCACGCUGGAUUGCAGUGGCUUGGUCAUAGCUCGCUGGAACCUCCAACUCCUGGGCACAAGUGAUCCUCCUGCCUCAGCCCCCAGAGUAGCUGGGACUACAAGUGUG